GAGAGAGAGAGAGAGAGAGAGAGAGAUUUACAAUGAAUAUGAAUAACAGGUAUAAUUUAAAGUAAUUGAUCAGGGCAAAAAGUUAAGAUAAUCAGUAAAACUUGUGUAAGUGCACAACUUAGGCCGGUAGCAGCUGCUUAUCUUUGCCACCAUCACCUGGAAGGAAGCUCUGAUUGCUGACCACUCAGAGAAGGAUUUGAUGAAUUAGAAGGAAGAGGCCCAUUAUCUUGAGAGGAUGGCCCACCCCACUUGAGCUCCACAUCAGUUGGUUCAACCACAUGCACUGCACCAUCACUCAUGCCAA
rnacentral:misc_RNA from 1 species